rnacentral:rRNA from 1 species
AACGAACGCUGGCGGCAUGCCUAACACAUGCAAGUCGAACGAGACCUUCGGGUCUAGUGGCGCACGGGUGCGUAACACGUGGGAAUCUGCCCUUCGGUUCGGAAUAACCGAGAGAAACUUCUGCCAAUACCGGAUGAUGACGUAAGUCCAAAGAUUUAUCGCCGAAGGAUGAGCCCGCGUAGGAUUAGGUAGUUGGUGGGGUAAUGGCCCACCAAGCCGACGAUCCUUAGCUGGUCUGAGAGGAUGAUCAGCCACACUGGGACUGAGACACGGCCCAGACUCCUACGGGAGGCAGCAGUGGGGAAUAUUGGAAAAUGGGCGAAAGCCUGAUCCAGCAAUGCCGCGUGAGUGAUGAAGGCCUUAGGGUUGUAAAGCUCUUUUACCAGGGAUGAUAAUGACAGUACCUGGAGAAUAAGCUCCGGCUAACUCCGUGCCAGCAGCCGCGGUAA